UGAAGACAUCGCUGUUUUUGGGGGGGCGAGCGUCUCUACUUUCCGGAGCGGUCUUCCACAAAUGGGCAGAGUUACCGUCGCUUCUUGUUGGACGGCGCACAUGGCGCUAACAACAACAACAAAAAAGAGAACGCCACACCCUCGCUCGCCCCCUUUCGCCCAUGCUCCACGCAGAUGAUGCACACAGACCGACGGACGAGCGUGAGUCGAGAGAGAGGGGGGCUCCGAGCGAGAUGCCGGCUGAGCUAAGUCCGCCACCUGCUGGUGCGUGACGUCAUUUAUGGACAGCCCCUAAGCGACUUGGCUAUAU